GCAGUAGCGGCAGACGGGGGAGGAGAGCAGAGAGGAGAGGAGGGACGGCUGCUCCAGAGUGGGGAGUGGAAGAAAACCGGGAGCAGCCUGAGCAGCAGGUCGGGGGUAGACGCUUAGCUCCACUGCCUUCCUCACUCAGGCAGACGCUGCUGAGCUCCCCCGGGUUGUUUCCCAGUCCCGCUGGGCGGAGGCUGCCGUCUAGACCUGACUCCAGAAUUUAAAAUGCAAUGGCCAGAAGACAGGGAAGUGUCACUAGAAGAAUGUGGACAUGGACUCCAGGACUGCUGAUAAUGACUGUGAUCUUUUGGAGUCAGCAGGGGAAUGGACAAGGCCAAGGUUAAAGCACACAUUCUCUUCAUCUGGAAUGCCAGUUCUGGAAGAAAACAUGUCUAAUAAUAUAUGAAUCUGAAGAAUGCUUUUACUUUUCAUCAUUCAUAUAGCAUUUAAAGAUCUAAAGCCUGUCUUACUUCUUGUAGCAUGUUUUCAGCAAAUAUUUUUUUUAGAAAUUACAGCUAUUCUUAUGCAUAUGAAAUUAACCUCAAUAAAUAAUUUAUUUUUGUACACUUCAUGCAAAUGUAAAAUUCUUGGCCGAAACAUUUUUAAUCCUUUAAUUUAUUCUUCAAGCAACUUUGACAAUAAAUUGACUUUUAAAUGGA